UGCAGAUGGACAGACAAGUGUUGAGAUAAAUGUCUACCAGGGGGAGAGAGAGCUUGUAAGAGACAACAAACUUCUUGGAAGCUUCCACUUGGAAGGUAUCCCUCUGGCCCCACGCGGAGUUCCACAGAUUGACGUCAAGUUUGAUAUUGAUGCCAAUGGUAUCCUCUCUGUUACGGCUAUUGACAAGGGAACAGGAAAGAAGCAGGAUAUCACCAUAACUGGUGCUAGCACCCUGCCUAGUACCGAGGUGGAAAGGAUGAUCAGGGAAGCAGAAAAAUAUGCGAAGGAGGACAAAGAGAAGAGGGAAGCUAUUGACACUAAGAACCAGGCUGACAGUCUUGUUUACCAGACUGAAAAGCAGCUGAAGGAGCUGGAACAGAAAAUACCCGUCUCUGUCAAGGAGAAGGUGGAGGCUAAACUGAAUGACCUCAAGGAUGCCAUCUCAAAUGGAUCAACCCAGGUCAUCAAAGAUGCAAUUGCUGUCCUGAACCAAGAAGUCAUGCAAUUGGGGCAGGUCCUUUACAGUCGGACUAGUGCUAGUGCUGGACCUAAAGCUGGAAGCGAUACUGGGUCAUCAAAAUCAACUGGAAAAGGAGAUGAUGGAGAUGUCAUUGAUGCAGAUUUCACAGAAACCAAGUAACUAGUCUGGAUUUUCUUUGUAUAUUGUAUAGAAGGAUAGUCCUCUGUAAAUAAUAGACGUAUGCAAUGGGACCUAAGUUCACUAGGGUGUCCCUUGGGAAGAUCUGGAGAUUUAACCAGUUCGAAACUUCAGAUGUUUUAUGCACCAAAUGCUGGCGUAUGAAUCAAAGAUAUUAAGCUAUAAGCUACAACCAAGGCAAAUGAUCCUCAUUUGUGGCAGAAGUCGACAUGCCCUUUGAUCACGUCUAUUGGAUGGGCUUGUUAGUUUGUUCCUCUUAAGAAAGAACUUGGUUUCAAGUGCAUCCAUCAAUUAUGUGCUCGACCAACUGAGGAAAAAAGAUGUGAGAAUCCAGGACUCAGAACUAAUCUCUUUACUACCUGUCACAUGCCAGAUUGAUGGGUUCUUCGUAUACGUGCUAAUCCUCAAGCUGGAUUGCCCCAUUUCCUGCCUUGUUCCAGGACUCAGAACUGACUAGUCCUCCCUGAAGUGAUCCAACUCAAAUCAAUUGAGUUAGAAUUAGUUAUAUUUCCCCAAAUAACAGCAGCCCUAAACUCCCAACUUCAUAGAGCCGUGAGGAUUUUCAUGAUCAUCUUGCUGCAGUUUAGUAUGAGUUGGCUAUCACCUAAAGAUUCACAUGUGGAAGGAAGAACUUGAAGAAGGUAUCUGACAUGUUUGUGCCUGGAAAGAGGACCAGAAUUGGCUUUUGAUCAAAGUAUUUACUAAUAGAAUAGAAUGGAAUGUCGGUGAGAAGUUCUUUUGAUAAAUUAUUUAGCAAGGGUUUCAAGGUUAUGCUAAGAUACGUGAGGAUUUGAAAUUAAGGUAAUUUGUGCUUAAUAUGUUAAUGUACAAUAUAAACAUUGUUAAGACUGUAAAAUUGGGGGGAAGAGAAUUUUACAAUGAAAUUGCUCUUCUCUAAACAUCACAGACAACAUAAACACCAAAUCCAACCAUGUCAUUAAGUACGGUUUAAUGCAUGAAAAUCACUGGCCAUAGUUGACCUACCUAUGAAGCAUUACAAAGCGCACAUCUCAGAAGGGCCUUAACAUUGAAGAUUGAAUCCACUGAUCAUUUAAUGAAGAUCCAAAUCGUAAAGGCUAUCUAGUGAAUCAGUUCACAGUCUCUAUGCCUGUCCAAGGAGUACCUGCAUGAAGUUGGAGGGCGACAUCUCCAACAACCUUAGCCAUGGAUCUAUAAGAAUGUUCUGUUACACCUGCAACAUGAGGAGUGAUUAGAACAUUGUCGAACUUUAGAAUUGGAUCAUCUGGAUCAAAUGGCUCAGUCCAAGCAACAUCAAUGCCUAAGCCUCCCAAGUGACCAGACUUAAGGUACUGCAAAACAGCCUCAUAGUCUAGGAGACCCCCUCGAGCAAUAUUUAUCAAAAGGGCACCCUUUCUCAUUGACGAUAGGAAUGAUUUGUUUACAAUACCUUCCUGAGAGUUAAAAUAUCAAAUAUUGUGGGUUAGAUGAUGAAUCAUUGAGCAUAGACACAUAGAAAGUAUUAUAAAGUAAAACAGGCAAAGUUAAAAUAUUAAUUUCCAACUAUUUAUCAGUAUUUCAACCAAAAAACAAAAAGAUAAAUUAUUUUAUGAGAAAAUGUUUCUCUCAGAAUAUUUUCCACAGGCAAGUUAUUUUCCAUGAAACAAACAGAGAGUGAAUCUCCAAAAUUGUUUGCUGUCAAUUACACACAAACAACACCCUUACAAAAUAUCUGAUUUCAACAUGGAGUUAAUUACAUGGAUCAUAUUUAUCCAUUCACUUGUCCAAAUACACAUGGAAAUAAUAGAUAGAUGGAUAGAUAAAAUUAGAACCACUGUCAAUUAUAAUCAAAUGUAAGCAGGCUUUUUAUCAAUAAGGAUCAGGACAUAUUUUGUUGCCAUGCGCUUGCCAUAAAUGUGUUUUAUCAAGAAUUCAUAGCACCAUGCUCAAAUAUGUAAACUAUAUGUCUACUGGCCAGCCAAAGUGAAGGUGAGUGAAAAGGAUAUCUUGCAAACAUGAACUAAUAGUAACAAACGAAGCAGAGUCUUACUGUCUCUUUAUUCAUACUCAAGCAACAUACAACUAUAUCAGCAUUGCUAGCAAACUCAUAAAUAUCUCCAUGACUACCCUUUUCAUCAACCAAAUCAUCAAUGACACCAUCCUGAAUGGGAAGCCCAUUUGGUUGAUCAGAAACAUGUAAAUGUGAUUUCCAACUCCGUUUUGUGGCAAUGAUUUUUACACCAAAUGGUCUUAAACGCUUUGCCAAUUCAAUCCCUAUGUUUCCAAAUCCCAAUAUAUAUACUGUCUUGCCAAGUAGGGUUUGACCAACUGGAACUCCAAGCUUUUUCUGCUUUACAGAAAAUUGCAUCUCAUUCUGCUUACGGAGAAGGCCCAACAUAAAAUAUAUAGCCAUUUCAGCACAUGAUGCUGCAUUUCCUGUAUUGUGACCUGGAAUUCUAGCAACUUUGAUUCCGCACCUUGUAGCAGCAUCAACAUCAAUACCAUCUAGGCCAACACCAAACUGCAUUAUAAGCUUCAUGUGAGUAGCACGAGAUAUACAAUUAGAAUCAAGCCGCAUAGUUUUGGAAACACAGAUGUCAUACUUCUCUAUAACAUCAGGCACAUCACUGAGAGGAACAUCAUCAACCUGGAUAAAAGGGUAGUUUUGCAAGUAUUCCUUAGUGUAAAUAUGCGAAGCAGGAAAAUGUGGCCCACAAAAGAGAACUCGGGUGAUGUUCUGGCCAUCUCCUCCUGCCAUUUCCUCCACUUUCCACAAUAUAUCCAGAAGAUGAAAUUGGAGAGAGAGAGAGAGA
rnacentral:misc_RNA from 1 species